UUUUUGCAGCUUUUUCAAUAAAAUAUAAUUCAAAUAUUUGGUCGUUUUUAGUGCAAUGCUUUUAUCCGCCCUACUCAUGACUAUGGCUGACCUUAAUAACUUCAAUCUUGUAAUUCAUUGAUUUACAAAAUUUGCAUUUGGUCAGCAAUAUUUGACAUUUUUUGCAAUCUAUUAUGCAAUUUUACCAUAACAAUAUCAACAUUUUAUUUUGACAUUUUUUGUGAACUUGCGCCAUUUGUGAAGAAAGUUUGAGCGAUUGUCUUUCAGAGGACAAGAAAUUCAAGCCAACGAAAGAUUCUUCUUGUUUUCAAAGAGUCAAAGACUGUUUCAUGUACAAUUGCAGUCAAUAAAGAAAAUUCUUAUCUAGAAGAUGUGCCCUGCCCUAAUGAUGACUAUUCAUGCAAGAAUCUUGAAUCGUGCGUCCCGUGUCAUAAUUCGUCCGACUGACGUAUGAGCUAGUCUGUUCUUGUUGCAGCUACGUCUCUUCCUCAAUUUCUCCCCCAACGGAAGCCUGUGUUACAUCUUGGCCACAAUGUUCAAGUUUAAGUUGGAGCAGUGCUGGAAGCUGUUCAACCUUAACUCCCACUUGAUAAAGGUAGGUUACCUUUUUCUUGAAUUCUCUUGAACCAAUCUUGCUUGGUUUUUGUUCUGCAGGAAAAGAACCGAUUGAUGUGCAAUGAGAUUAAGAAGAUGCUCAUUGAUCACGGGUUGUACUCUAUUCCCAAACUGUAUUUUGCUAGAGGCCUGGUGGAGAUCGACAGGAAACGGGUGAGGAACCUGGCCAAUACGCACCAAAUAGCCAUAAACAACGACAAGAGGGAGGCAUCAUACACAAUCCACCCAUCCGUGAAUGCUGAUAACACACACAUUUACUGCAGGCCCGUGUUCAAGAUUGGCCAGAAGUAUCUUGUCCAUUUCAACGGAUUUCCCGCGAGAGUUUUCAAAGGAUUUUACUGGUUUGCAAGUUCAUUACUGUUGACUUUCAGGAAUCAUGGGACAACUUGGGCGUGUUGCACUCCUUGGAAGACAAGGAGCUGAAUAAGUUCAGGGGCAAGAAGAUUGUGCGGAAGAAACAGUACAGGGUAGUAGUGAAAUGGCUCUCUGAUUCAGAGAACCACAAGGAGCUCAUGUCGGAGGAAGAUUAAGAAGUUGACGAAAAAGGAAAUUUGAAAACGCACAAGCUUUCCAUGUCUUAUGAUGCAUUUGUUGCCGCAUGCAUGAGGAAGCCAAGAAAGAGGAGUCCGUCAACUCCAAUAACAAACGCACUAUCUAAAAGGACCGUCAAAUAAUGGCAAGCCUGUAUCCGGCAGGAGGUUCAAAAAGUCUCACAAGCAUAUACUUAAUAGUUCUCAAGUAUACUGGUUCUUAACAAAGCGUAAAAAUGGGAAUCUUAAGUCGCAAAUAAAAAACGAGUAGACUUGACUAUG